UACGUAGGGUGCGAGCGUUGUCCGGAAUUAUUGGGCGUAAAGGGCUCGUAGGCGGUUUGUCGCGUCGGGAGUGAAAACACACAGCUUAACUGUGUGCUUGCUUCCGAUACGGGCAGACUAGAGGUAUGCAGGGGAGAACGGAAUUCCUGGUGUAGCGGUGAAAUGCGCAGAUAUCAGGAGGAACACCGGUGGCGAAGGCGGUUCUCUGGGCAUUACCUGACGCUGAGGCGCGAAAGCUAGGGGAGCAAACGGG
rnacentral:rRNA from 1 species